rnacentral:rRNA from 1 species
AGAGUGAACGCUGGCGGUAGGCCUAACACAUGCAAGUCGAACGGCAGCACAGUAGGAGCUUGCUCUUACGGGUGGCGAGUGGCGGACGGGUGAGGAAUACAUCGGAAUCUACCUUUUGGUGGGGGAUAACGUAGGGAAACUUACGCUAAUACCGCAUACGCCCUUCGGGGGAAAGCCGGGGACCAGCAAUGGCCUGGCGCUGAUAGAUGAGCCGAUGUCGGAUUAGCUAGUUGGUGAGGUAAUGGCUCACCAAGGCGACGAUCCGUAGCUGGUCUGAGAGGAUGAUCAGCCACACUGGAACUGAGACACGGUCCAGACUCCGUACGGGAGGCAGCAGGUGGGGAAUAGUUGGAACAAGUGGGCGCGAAGCCUGAUCCAGCCAUACCGCGUGGGU